UACGAAGGGGGCUAGCGUUGCUCGGAAUUACUGGGCGUAAAGCGCACGUAGGCGGUCUUUUAAGUCAGGGGUGAAAUCCUGGAGCUCAACUCCAGAACUGCCUUUGAUACUGAAGAUCUUGAGUUCGGGAGAGGUGAGUGGAACUGCGAGUGUAGAGGUGAAAUUCGUAGAUAUUCGCAAGAACACCAGUGGCGAAGGCGGCUCACUGGCCCGAUACUGACGCUGAGGCACGAAAGCGUGGGGAGCAAACAGG
rnacentral:rRNA from 1 species